AUUUUAUUAGUAUAUAAGUAUACUUAACUUCCAAUUAAGAGGACUAUUUGUUUAGAUAAAAUA
rnacentral:tRNA from 1 species